GUUUAUGGCCAUGCCACCCUGAACAAGCCCGAUCCCGUCUGAUCUUGGAAGCUUAUCUUAGGCCUAGUUAGUACUUGGAUGGGAGACCACCUAGGAAGACCAGGUGCUAUAGGCA
rnacentral:rRNA from 1 species